AGUGAACGCUGGCGGUAGGCCUAACACAUGCAAGUCGAACGGCAGCACAGUAAGAGCUUGCUCUUACGGGUGGCGAGUGGCGGACGGGUGAGGAAUACAUCGGAAUCUACUUUUUCUUGGGUGAUAACGUAGGGACACUUACGCUAAUACCGCAUACGACCUACGGGUUAAAGCAGGGGAUCUUCGGACCUUUCGCGAUUGAAUGAGCCGAUGUCGGAUUAGCUAGUUGGCGGGGUAAAGGCCCACCAAGGCGACGAUCCGUAGCUGGUCUGAGAGGAUGAUCAGCCACACUGGAACUGAGACACGGUCCAGACUCCUACGGGAGGCAGCAGUGGGGAAUAUUGGACAAUGGGCGCAAGCCUGAUCCAGCCAUACCGCGUGGGUGAAGAAGGCCUUCGGGUUGUAAAGCCCUUUUGUUGGGAAAGAAAAGAAGUAGGUUAAUAUACGGCUGUUCUGACGGUACCCAAAGAAUAAGCACCGGCUAACUUCGUG
rnacentral:rRNA from 1 species